CCUACGGGAGACAGCAGUGAGGAAUAUUGGUCAAUGGACGAGAGUCUGAACCAGCGAAGUAGCGUGAAGGAUGACUGCCCUCUGGGUUGUAACCUUCUUUUAUAAAGGAAUAAAACGCGGCCCGUGUGCCUUUUUUCAUGUACUUUAUGAAUAAGGAUCGGCUAACUCCGUGCCAGCAGCCGCGGUAAUACGGAGUAUCCGAGCGUUAUCCGGAUUUAGUGGGUGUAAAGGGAGCGUAGAUGGGUUGUUAAGUCAGGUGUGAAAGUUUGCGGCGCAACCGUAAAAUUGCAAUUGAUACUGGCAGUCUUGAGUACAGUUGAGGUAGGCGGAAUUCGUGGUGUAGCGGUGAAAUGCGUAGAUAUCACGAAGAACCCCGAUGGCGAAGGCAGCUUACUAAACUGUGACUGACAUUGAGGCUCGAAAGUGUGGGUAUCAAACAGGAUUAGAUACCCGAGUAGUC
rnacentral:rRNA from 1 species